GCUCAGCAGAACAGAAGGAGAAGUGGCUCUCACUCCUCAAAAGUCGGAUUAAAGAAGAGAAAGAGAAGGAAGAACCUAAAACUAUUCCUCUGAGAGUGUACGGGAAGGGAAUCAAUACUUUUGCUGUUACCAAGACACUCCCGGUCAGCAACUCAGAUUCAACCAAUGAGGUGAUCCGAUUGGCCCUGCAGCAGUUCAGCAUCAUCGUGA